UACGGGGGGGGCAAGCGUUGUUCGGAAUUACUGGGCGUAAAGGGCUCGUAGGCGGCCAACUAAGUCAAACGUGAAAUCCCUCGGCUUAACCGGGGAACUGCGUCUGAUACUGGAUGGCUUGAGUUUGGGAGAGGGAUGCGGAAUUCCAGGUGUAGCGGUGAAAUGCGUAGAUAUCUGGAGGAACACCGGUGGCGAAGGCGGCAUCCUGGACCAAUAUUGACGCUGAGGAGCGAAAGCCAGGGGAGCAAACGGG
rnacentral:rRNA from 1 species